AUCGAGUACCUUGCUUCUCAUUUCUCACCUUUCGCACACACCUCCAAACAGUCCUCGCAAUUGUAUCAGCACACCUGCAAGAAACCUCGCGGGCAACCAUGACGCCUGGCUCUUGCUGCUGUGGGUUGUGGAAUAGGAAGAGAAACGCUAAUCGCCAUCCCGCUGCAGAGAACAUAGAAGAAACUGCUAUUUCAAUUGAAGCAGCUGCCAGCACAGAAAAAGCAAAUGCAACAGGUAGUUUCUCUGGUGAAAAUAAAAUUGGCGACGGUACUUUUGGUGAAGUUUUCAAAGGAAA
rnacentral:misc_RNA from 1 species